rnacentral:rRNA from 1 species
UACAGAGGGUGCAAGCGUUGUUCGGAAUUAUUGGGCGUAAAGCGCGUGUAGGCGGCUUGGCAAGUCGGGUGUGAAAUCCCUCAGCUUAACUGAGGAGGUGCGCCCGAAACUGCUUUGCUUGAGUGCCGGAGAGGAUGGCGGAAUUCCCCAAGUAGAGGUGAAAUUCGUAGAUAUGGGGAGGAACACCGGUGGCGAAGGCGGCCAUCUGGACGGUAACUGACGCUGAGACGCGAAAGCGUGGGGAGCAAACAGG